UACGAAGGGGGCUAGCGUUGUUCGGAAUUACUGGGCGUAAAGCGCGUGUAGGCGGGUCUUUAAGUCAGGGGUGAAAUGCCAAGGCUCAACCUUGGAACUGCCUUUGAUACUGGCUGUCUUGAGUUCGGGAGAGGUGAGUGGAAUGCCGAGUGUAGAGGUGAAAUUCGUAGAUAUUCGGCGGAACACCAGUGGCGAAGGCGACUCACUGGCCCGAUACUGACGCUGAGGCGCGAAAGCGUGGGGAGCAAACAGG
rnacentral:rRNA from 1 species